rnacentral:lncRNA from 1 species
AUAGAAAAGUAUAAAAAUAAAUGUGUAAUGUUUUGGAUACUGUGAUUAACAAAUGGUAUACAGCCUUGCAAGGUCAGCUAUUGUUUUUCUGACCUAACUCACGUUCGACAUUAAACUGGCAAAAUAAAUAUAGAUAUGGAGAGCAGCUUACGGACUUUUAGCGUUGUUUUAUAACGUUAAGGAUACAAUAUUACAAGAUUAAUUACAAUGAUGACAUUGAUUUAAACAUGUAAUUAGUAUGUUAAGUCUUUUAGUUAUUUAACUUAGAUGUUACUACUACCUUAGAUGGUAAAAUGUUAUAUCCGCUCUAUUCUUCUUUAUAGUGUCGAAGCUUGGACUGUUUGAGAGCAAGGACACACCAUUCGGCGCACGUCGAGUCGACGUCGAGUCGACGUCGAGGCAGCUUAAAACACAUGGCCCGGUGUACAGCGGCAGCUAUGCUGCGAUUUAAAGUAUUGGUAUUUCGUUGUUGCCAAAUUUAGUCGCGUGUUGGCUGCUGUACGGUACGAGGCCUGAAAGUUAUGACGAUUUGUCUUUUGUAAUAAAUGCAAGUUUAUUUAUCUUAGAUUAAGUAAAAAAUGAAACGCAGAUAUUGGAUAUAUCCCAUCAUAAAGGAACGAAAGUAUAAGGGAUUUUUUUACCCAUUAUAUAACGAAAUGAAUAUAACAAAGACCUAGAGAAGUUGUUUAUUUCUACAAGAAUGUCUAAACAAUAUUUUCAGGAGUUACAUAUUAGUAAGUAUUAAAGACCCAUGUUCAAGAAAUAACACCCUUAUGAGGGAAAGCCUAUCACCUAAGAAAAACUAUUUAUAACGCUAAGGGGCUGUCCAUUCUAUGGUACGCCACUGAGCAAAUACAGGUGUUAAAUUGAUGCCCAUCUAUUAUACCCCAUUAAGUGGGAAAUAGUGAUGUUUCACAAAUUAAUAUUAACAAAAAAUUAUUCAAAUUAAAGUCAAAGUACGUGUCGAGAAAGACGAAAACCAGAAUAUA